GCCUAGUCGUAAACUUUAACUUACUCCAACACCGCCAGGGCANUACGAGCAAAGCUUAAAACCCAAAGGACUUGACGGUACCCCAAACCCCUCUAGAGGAGCCUGUCCUGCAAUUGAUACCCCCCGCUCUACCUCACCGCCUUUAGCUUCUUCAGCCUGUAUACUUCCGUCGCCAGCUUACCACAUGAGCGCAACACAGUAAGCCCAAUGGACCCACCAAAACGUCAGGUCAAAGUGCAGCAAAUGAGGCGGGAAGAGAUUGGCUACACUUUUUAACUUUAAAAGAAACGAAAGAUUAUGUGAAACCACAAUCUAAAGGCGGAUUUAGUAGUAAAGAGAAAACAGAGUGUUCUAUUUAACCCGGCACUGGGGUGUGU
rnacentral:rRNA from 1 species